rnacentral:rRNA from 1 species
CCUACGGGGGGCAGCAGUGGGGAAUAUUGCACAAUGGGGGGAACCCUGAUGCAGCAACGCCGCGUGGAUGAAGAAGUACUUCGGUAUGUAAAGCCCUGUUAGUAGGGAAGAAAAUGACGAUACCUGACCCAGAAGCCCCGGCUAACUACGUGCCAGCAGCCGCGGUAAUACGUAGGGGGCAAGCGUUAUACGGAUUUACUGGGUGUAAAGGGAGCGUAGACGGCUAGGCAAGUCUGGAGUGAAAGCCCGUGGCUCAACCACGGGACUGCUUUGGAAACUGUGUUGCUGGAGUGCAGGAGGGGUAGGCGGAAUUCCUGGUGUAGCGGUGAAAUGCGUAGAGAUUAGGAGGAACACCGAUGGCGAAGGCGGCUUACUGGACUGUAACUGACGUUGAGGCUCGAAGGCGUGGGGAGCAAACAGGAUUAGAUACCCCGGUAGUC